rnacentral:misc_RNA from 1 species
GAUGAAGAACGCAGUGAAAUGCGAUAAGUAAUGUGAAUUGCAGAAUUCAGUGAAUCAUCGAAUCUUUGAACGCACAUUGCGCCCCUUGGUAUUCCGAGGGGCAUGCCUGUUCGAGCGUCAUUUCAACCCCUCAAGCUUCGGCUUGGUGUUGGGCCGCGCCGCUGCACCAGCAGCUGGCGGGCCUCAAAAUCAGUGGCGGUGCCGUCUCGGCUCUAAGCGUAGUAACAUCUCUCGCUCUGGAGACCUGGCGGUGGCUUGCCAGACAACCCCCAACUUUCUUUAAGGUUUGACCUCGGAUCAGGUAGGGAUACCCGCUGAACUUAAGCAUAUCAAUAAGCGGAGGA